GCGAGUCUUUGCAGUAAUGCAAGGCAUACGGCUCACUAACACGUAGUCAACUUACCCUAUGGACGAGGAUAAUCUCGGGAAACUGAGCAUAAUACUCGAUAGAUCAUAAUGCCUGGAAUGGUUUAUGGUUGAAAUGAUUCGUCGCCAUAGGAUGGGACUGCGGCCUAUCAGCUUGUUGGUGAGGUAAUGGCCCACCAAGGCGAUUACAGGUACGGGCUCUGAGAGGAGUAGCCCGGAGAUGGGUACUGAGACACGGACCCAGGCCCUAUGGGGCGCAGCAGGCGAGAAAACUUUGCAAUGUGCGAAAGCACGACAAGGUUAAUCCGAGUGAUUUCUGCUAAAGAAAUCUUUUGUUAGUCCUAGAAACACUAACGAAUAAGGGGUGGGCAAGUUCUGGUGUCAGCCGCCGCGGUAAAACCAGCACCUCAAGUGGUCAGGAUGAUUAUUGGGCCUAAAGCAUCCGUAGCCGGCUCUGUAAGUUUUCGGUUAAAUCUGUACGCUCAACGUACAGGCUGCCGGGAAUACUGCAGAGCUAGGGAGUGGGAGAGGUAGACGGUACUCGGUAGGAAGGGGUAAAAUCCUUUGAUCUAUCGAUGACCACCUGUGGCGAAGGCGGUCUACCAGAACACGUCCGACGGUGAGGGAUGAAAGCUGGGGGAGCAAACCGGAUUAGAUACCCGGGUAGUCCCAGCUGUAAACUAUGCAAACUCAGUGAUGCAUUGGCUU
rnacentral:rRNA from 1 species